rnacentral:lncRNA from 1 species
GACGGCCCUGCUAGGUGGGAAGCUCCUUGCAGGCAGGAACCCCAUCUCCUUGACUUUACUUUGGAAUCCCCGCAGCCUCAUACGGGGCUGAGGCAGGUCCUUCCGUAAAAUGGAACUGAAUGAGCGGCGCUUAAUCCAUCCGCCAAAGGCCAGUCUCCCUUGGGUUUUCAACAGCUACACGGUGAAGACACAGAUGUCCACAUCUUCUGCAGAUAAGGAAACUGAGGGGUAAUAAUAAAUAAUUUGCACAACACAGCACAAAGCUGAGGAGCCAACACUGGACCUGACGAAGUCCCAUUCUGGAAGCCAAACUCCCAACUGCUAAGCUCUGCUUGAAUUCUCAUUGAGCAUCUCGCUUCUUAAAAGUUUCAACAACUCAGCAGUCUAUAAUCCAACUCGCCUUCUCCACAAUGCCAAAAGUGCAAUGAGCUUCAUGCUGAAUACUGAUUUGAAGUGUGGUUCACCACACAGACUUAAAUUGUCCUUCCCACAACUUUAUCUGAGAAGCAUGACAACGGUGACAAUCACAGGACUAGUUUUAUUGGGCAACUUUCUGGGUCUGAGAAAGAGAAGGCUUCCAGGAGGUCUGCAGCCACCUGCUUCAGCCACUGCUGGUAUCCACAUCUUCAAAGCGGAGGUUUAGCCACACCCAGAGGGGGGAAUAACACUUGCAGAAAACAACGCUCAGAAAUUGGCGUCACCUGAUUCCCCACAGCAGAGCAGACCAGCUGUCUCCUGUACAGGUGGAAGCAGCUUGCACGCUUCCUGCCAUCCGCAUGCUCACUCCUCCCUCACAGUCCCAGAAAUGGAAUCCCAAGAGGCCGCUCAGGCAAGCCAGAUAGAGCCACCCAUGUGAUCAAGCAUUCAGGGCAUGAGGGCCCCCACUACCAUGGCCCGGAAAAUACAUGCAUCAAC